rnacentral:rRNA from 1 species
CAUGGUCUGCUUGGGAAAGCUCCGGCGGUGAAGGAUGGUCCCUUGGCCCAUUAGCUUGUUGGUGAGGUAACGGCUCACCAAGGCGACGAUGGGUAGCCGAGCUGAGAGGCUGAUCGGCCACACUGGGACCGAGACACGGCCCAGACUCCUACGGGAGGCAGCAGUGGGGAAUUUUGCGCAAUGGGCGAAAGCCUGACGCAUCAACGCCGCGUGCGGGAUGAAGGCCUUCGGGUUGUAAACC